AUCUUUGCGCUUGGGGCAAUGACGCAGCUAAUGAGGUUCUAACCGAGGCGCGUCUAUUGCUGGUUGAAAACUAUUUCCAAACCCCCUCUUGGGCUUUGGUUUACACCUAAGCCCUCGAGAAUUUCUGGAAGGGCUACCCUUUGGGUACAGCC
rnacentral:snRNA from 1 species